CGUAGGGUGCGAGCGUUAAUCGGAAUUACUGGGCAUAAAGCGUGCGCAGGCGGUUUGUUAAGAUAGGCGUGAAAUCCCCGGGCUCAACCUGGGAACUGCGCUUAUGACUGGCAAGCUAGAGUACGGCAGAGGGGGGUGGAAUUCCACGUGUAGCAGUGAAAUGCGUAGAGAUGUGGAGGAACACCAAUGGCGAAGGCAGCCCCCUGGGUCGAUACUGACGCUCAUGCACGAAAGCGUGGGUAGCAAACAGGAUUAGAUACCCUGGUAGUCCACGCCCUAAACGAUGUCAACUAGGUGUUGGGAGGGUAAAACCUUUUAGUACCGGAGCUAACGCGUGAAGUUGACCGCCUGGGGAGUACGGCCGCAAGGUUA
rnacentral:rRNA from 1 species